GUGCCAGCCGCCGCGGUAAUACCGGCAGCUCAAGUGAUGGCCGAUCUUAUUGGGCCUAAAGCGUCCGUAGCUGGCCUCGCAAGUCCGUCGGGAAAUCCAGUAGCUCAACUACUGGGCGUCCGGCGGAAACUACAAGGCUUGGGACCGGAAGGCUCGAAGGGUACGUUCGGGGUAGGAGUGAAAUCCCAUAAUCCCGCACGGACCACCGAUGGCGAAAGCACUUCGAGAAAACGGAUCCGACAGUGAGGGACGAAAGCCAGGGUCUCCAACCGGAUUAGAUACCCUAGUAGUCC
rnacentral:rRNA from 1 species